rnacentral:rRNA from 1 species
UACGUAGGGCGCAAGCGUUGUCCGGAAUUAUUGGGCGUAAAGAGCUCGUAGGCGGUUUGUCGCGUCUGCUGUGAAAACCUAAGGCUCAACCUUGGGCUUGCAGUGGGUACGGGCAGACUAGAGUGCGGUAGGGGUGACUGGAAUUCCUGGUGUAGCGGUGGAAUGCGCAGAUAUCAGGAGGAACACCGAUGGCGAAGGCAGCUCACUGGGACGGUACUGACGC